GGGGUUUGCUCUGUUUCCUUCGGGACAUGCUGCUCGCCGCCGGUGCUGCUAGUGUCGCCGCCGUCGCCCGUCCGGGUGUUCAGGUGUAACUGAGGGUGUGAACGGGGGUGCAAGGCUUGAGCAAUAAAUCUUUCUGAACUGCAACUCAACCUAUGGUCCUGAUCCUUUGCACCUGAUAGAUUCCUAUAUUUAAGAAUUUCCUUCAACAGAAUAUCAAUAAGUUCCAAUUGAAGAGCGGAUUCUUUUGCAAUUCAGGCAUGUGCCGGCGAUAACGGGCGAGUUGGCAUGAAGAGAGGCAGAGAUGGAUUAAUUAUGCAGAGAACAUGGAAAUUCUGCUUAUCAUCGGCUAGCAAAGGAGCCCAGCUCACAUAAUCAGCAAACGAAGGGAGAGAAAAAAAUAACAAUGCAAUGGCACCUUCCAGCCCAUCAUCAGGAUUUUUCUACCCCCUUGUAAUUAAAAAAUAACAUACACUUAUAGCCCUAUCUCCUGUGCAGGCAAAGAGUGGAUGUCCACAAAAUAAUUGCACUGGGAUAUUAGAGCUGGAAACAAGAGCUGCCCAUUCCUAUACUGUACCAAGUCUCCCCUCCUAUUCUCUCCCUUGGCCUCUGUAAGGCACUUCCUUUCCGUCUGGAAUCUGAAUCAGAUGGAGGUCUUCAGCCAGGUGACAUCCCACCUUAGUGUCCAUGACUUCAAAGCUCAUCCUUAUCAUGAUAAUUCUUAAGAGGCCAAAGGCUCAGGGGUUGUUAUUCAUCUCACCUGCAAGCUAUCCAAAAAAAUCACACAGAAAAAUCCAACCCAAUUGGCAUUUUAUUCAGCAACAAAAUAGACUGAACAUCAUAGAUACUCUUACAUAUUUUGUCUUUUUCACUGCUGUUCCCAAAGAUCACAGCUGCUAAGAACCCUUCUAUGCUGCUAGUGCAUAGUUCUGGAAAUUAAAAGGAAAAUAAACUGUCUUACUUUUAAGCUAAAGGCAAAAACAAAUGCCAGGAUAUGGCUUACAAAACCUAGGCAGGCAGGAAGGAAGAAGGAAAUGAGAAAGUUUAUGUAUUGCCCCAAAUAAAACAAUUUCAUAUUUGAGUCCUUUGGACUAUUGGAUGACAUAAUCUAUUUAUAUUCUUAUAUGCAAAAUGCUUCAUAAUCACAAUGCACUGGUAAUUCCUUUUGUUAAUGUGUUGCUGCUCCUUGCGUCUUUUUUUAAAAAAAAAACAACGUAGACGUGUUCCUUACACGUGGAUAGAGGGAUUCUUGGUUUAUUUUCUAAUACAUUUAUUCAGCAGCAAAGGAAAGAGAAGGAAAAGAAAGAAGUCACACGCAGGUCAGAAGAAAAGUGCUG